rnacentral:rRNA from 1 species
CCUACGGGUGGCAGCAGUGAGGAAUAUUGGUCAAUGGACGAGAGUCUGAACCAGCCAAGUAGCGUGAAGGAUGACUGCCCUAUGGGUUGUAAACUUCUUUUAUAUGGGAAUAAAAUGUUCCACGUGUGGGAUUUUGUAUGUACCAUAUGAAUAAGGAUCGGCUAACUCCGUGCCAGCAGCCGCGGUAAUACGGAGGAUCCGAGCGUUAUCCGGAUUUAUUGGGUUUAAAGGGAGCGUAGGUGGAUUUUUAAGUCAGUUGUGAAAGUUUUCGGCUCAACCGUAAAAUUGCAGUUGAAACUGGCAGUCUUGAGUACAGUAGAGGUGGGCGGAAUUCGUGGUGUAGCGGUGAAAUGCUUAGAUAUCACGAAGAACUCCGAUUGCGAAGGCAGUUCACUGGACUGCAACUGACACUGAGGCUCGAAAGUGUGGGUAUCAAACAGGACUAGAUACCCCAGUAGUC